GGCAUUUAUCGUUUGUCUGCUGUUUGUUAAUGUUCAAUAUUUUAAAAUUAUUUUAAAAACGGAACAAUUUGUUCAAAAUGAAGGCCGUUUUCGCACUAAUUCUGUAUUUUAUUGUUUUAUUAUUUAACUUCGACGGAAUUCUCGGGGAAGCUUUGCUGAUGGAUUUUGUUGAUAGUCAACUUUCGGCACCAACUCCUUGCAAUUUUUCCUCGGACUGCCAUCAUUUGAAAAAUGCAGUCUGCAUGGACGACUACUGUAAUUGUAACGGCAGUAAGUUUUGUGUCAGCAAUUUGGAGCAAAGACUUCUUAAGCUGGGAGAAAAUUGCGAAAGUUCAUCAGAUUGCCUCAUUGAAAAUUCUGUAUGCCAGGAGAGAAAAUGCAGGUGCAUAGAGGGAACUGCUGCGGGUAUUGAUGGAAGAAAGUGUAUCAAAGGUCAGGAAUCUGUACUAAAUGCUAAUAACCAAUGUAACAACGAAGGUUGCCAAUGCAAGGCCGGCUAUGUUUCAAACCUUGCAUCUACUGAAUGUUUGAAAAUUGCCGAAGAAUUAUAUUCUGCAUGUGCUGAAGAUGUACAAUGUCUUUCCAAAUUUGAAAACUCUAUUUGCCAUGAGGGUCUCUGCCGAUGCAACGAAAGCUUUAAAUAUGAUGCAAUUGACAACAUGUGCUCUAAAGAUUUAUCUUUCAUUACUGGAUCCUUGAACGAAAGUGACAGUCGGACUCCAACGGGAUGCGUUGAUGGUAUCUGCAAGGAACAGGAAGUUGAACUUUCUCUCAAAGCAGAUAACCCACGCAUAGGUGCUCUAUGUGAUGGGUUUCGAAAGGAGCAGAAAAUCGGUUGUACGGUUGGUAGGUGCGAAUGCCCAGAAGAACGGAAAUUCUGCACUAAUAGGGCAGAGUUGAGUAGGCACAUGAAUAAAGGGCAGAGUAAGAAACGGCUAGACUCUAGAGCGAGUUCUGUUGAUUCCCCCAAAAUAGAACAUAUUAGCCGCACUUAUACACUUGGACGAUUCGGAAUUCCGAGUGACCAUCAUGAAAUUAAACGGAAAGAAAAUUUAAGGGUGAGACGUCAGUUCCAAAUUAGCGUGACUGGGGUUGCUAUCAUCCUUAUAACUACUUUUGUCUUAUUUUAUGUUCAAACUGAUGAGACUCAUUUGUUUGUACUUUUCCCACUUUUGAUUUUCUGGUUAUGUAAAACUGACUAUACAGCCUGGUCGAAAUUCGGCGAUUUGUCUGCUCUUUAUAUGGUGAACGCUGAUAUAUUUGUAUGUUUAGUAUUGCUCUUUUCUUGGUACUUUUACCGACGAUUCUUUUCUUCACGUAAGUCUCGAAAAAUACCUGUGCGUAGACAUUCAGACGAACAUGAUCGUCCAUUUGUGCGUCGCUAUGUGUUCCCACCGGCAAGCCCUUGAGGUGGCCCAGAACGAAGAAGACAACACCAGGACUAAUUUCAGAAUGGAUUUCACUACUAAAGCAGCGCCAUUAUUUGGGUUAUAGUCGUAGCUGUAUUUCUCGGUGCUACUCCAAGUUCAUGGCUUUCUAGAAUAGCAUCAGUUCUUAAGAUUUAUGCAGUCCUAAUCGUUACUAUGUUACAAGUUUUAAAAAUUAAAAUAGAAGUUUUUGUAUCUGCAUUUACCAAAUCAAUAACGCAGCUUUUGGUGUUAUCACUCUAUAUACUUUUUAUAACCUACUUUGCUUCUAAAUUCAUAGAUAUCCUGUGCGAUAAAGUACCUGUUUAUAGGAUUUAUUUUU